rnacentral:tRNA from 1 species
GGGAAUGUACCUCAAUGGUAGAGUAUUUGCCUGUAAUGCCAAGGCCCUGGGCUCAAUCCCCAGCACCGCCA